GCGGUAAGCAGAAGGGCGGGGCAGACUCUGGGCAGACGCUGGAGUCGUCCGGGACAGAUGCCUCCAGUUUGUCACCGGCUUGGAGAUGCCGCCUGGCUGCACCGAGGCACCAGGCCUCUCCUGUUGUCCCUGCUGCUUCCCCGGGAUCCAGGAUUUAGCCCGGUCUCUAGAAGAUCCACGGCGUGGUCAGUGGCCAGUCUUGGACUUUGAGCUUGCUCUUGUCCAAUUACUUUACUUCAGGGCCAAAGAAACGGCAUCCCUGAGGUAACUGAAAAUGACCUUGAACUUAUGAGCCUCCUGCCUUCACCUUCAAGUUCUAGGAUUAUAGGCAUGCACCACCAUGCCUCGUUUAUUCUGUGCUGGGAACCAAACCCAGAGCUUCAUGUGCACGAGGUAAGCACUCUACCAACUGAGCUACAGCUUCAAGCCACACCCAUCGUCCCCACCACACUUGAGACACAGGAGUCUCGGCAUGUGGCACAGGCUAGAGCUUGCAGUCCUCUUGUCUCUGCCUCCCUAGCGCUGAGAUUUCCCGCCAUGUACUGCCACACCUGGCAACAGUGUGUUUUAAAGAUCUACCCAAAUCAGUAUAUUGGGGGCAUGUAGGGAUCCACUGUAGAGCUGCAUCAUCACGCAUUUAACUGUACUGAUGGACAUUUUUUCUAAUACAAACAAUGCUGUGAUGAGAAACUGUAUGCAUACUUUUUGUUCAAGUGCCAAUUCAUACAGAAAAACUUCAUGACAGACACAGUCCUGUGUCUGUCCACUGAAUUGAAAAUCAUUUCCCCCAGUUUGUCAUGUGUCUUGAGACCUUACUCAGGGUUUGUAGCAUUUAUUCUCCCUGGUGUCUUCGUCACUGUUCUAUUGCUGUGAAGACACACCAUGAUCAAGCCAACUCUUAGAAAAGAAAGCAUUUAAUAGAGGGCUUAUUUACAUUUUCAGUAGUUUAGUCCAUUAUCAUCAUGGCAGCACACCUGUCUAUAGAGUAGUAGCUGAGAGCUACAUCUUUGUCCACAGGCCAAGAGAGAAAGCAACUAAGUCUGACAUAUUCUUUUGAAAACCUCAAAGCCCACCCUUGGUGACACCCUUCCUUCCACAAGGCCACACCUACUUCAACAAGGCCACAUCUCUUAGUCCUUUCAAAUAGUUUCACUUCCUGAUGACUAAGCGUCCAAAUAUAUGACCUUAUGGGGGCCAUUCCCUUCAACCCGUAUCUAGUUUACAUUUCUCAAUUUGUUCUUUUAUAAUUUCAGGAAUUUGAGUCAUAAUCAGAAAUGUCUUUGUACUCCAGAAUGUCUGAUCCCUUAUGCUCUUGGAGUCUUACAGCACUGGGCAUUGAAUCCAGAGCUUCAUACAUGUUAGACAAUCACUUCUUUCCCCAUGUUUUCUUAAUACCCUUUCAUGCCUUUUUACAUAUAUAGUUAUAAUAGUUGGGUAUUAUAUUAUUAUAAAUAUUUCUUCCAAGGAGUAUACUUGUAGUUGCACUUAAAAAACAAACAACAACAACAAAAAAACCAACCAGGGUCUCAUGUAGCUCAGGCUGCUCUUGAACACACACAACUUAGCUAAGAAUGAUCUUGAAUUUCUGACCCUCCUGUCUGUGCCUCCCAAGUGUGAGAAUGAAAAGGAUACUUGAAUUUUUUCUCAAACCUGGGGAUGUGUGAAUACAUGGUAUGGUGGCACAAAUCUGUCAUUCUAGGUGCUUACAAUACCAAGUCAGAAAGAUCUCAAGUUCAAGGCCAGCCUGGUCAACUUAGAGAAACUCUGUCUCAAAACAAACAAACAAACAAACAAGCCAUAAUACUGUCAUCUCUGCCCUCACUUAUGUGUGUCUAUUUCAUAUGUGGUCUCUUUCAUUUCACUAUUUUGCUUACUUAUUGUUUUGGGGGUUUCUUAUUAUUGUUCUUUGCUGUGUAUUCUAGAUUCUUCAUGCUUCUACCUUCUUCUUUUUUUAUUUUUCAAGACAGAGUUUCUCUGUGUAGCCUUGGCUAUCCUGGAACUCGCUCUGUAGACCAGGCUGGACUCAAACUCAGAGAUUCACUUGCCCCUGUCUCCCGAGUGCUGGCAUUAAAGAUGUGUGCCACUACAACCUGGCUUGUUUUUAUCUUAUAUAAUGAUUUGGAAAGCAGAAAUCAAGUUUGUAAUUACACAAAUCUUCAGAUUAGUCAAGCACAUAUAUUGAACUUCCUAUUAUCAAAUUGCCAAGGCAAUACCUCUGUGUCAGCUGCUUUCCAAAAAUCUAUUCUUGCCCAGCUUCAGAUGAGGAAACUAGAACUAAUUAAGUCGCUUGAAACCCAGAAGAUCUGCAGAUUGCCCUCUGGAUGGGGAGAAGUUUUGCAGGCUUAAAUUAAGCCAGUCAGGGCCAGUGGGAGUGGAGAAAAAUCUCAGGGAGACAAGGAGGGGUGAAUUUCUCAAAGUAGAGUCCCCAGGGCCUUGAAGCUCUUGAUACUAACCCUGGGAGCGUUGCCAAUCUGAUAUGUGCAAAAUCCUGUCUCCCUGGAGCUGUGGUUUCACUGCUCUUGGAGUGAGCCCCAGCAUCUUUUCAUACCUUUGGGGGCCAUUCUCAUUCCCAUAUCUGUGAGCAGCCCGUUCAUAUUCUGUUUUCCUCUUGGGAAGUCCCAGCAAAUAACCACAUCAAAGCUCCCUGGACUGUUUGCUUGCAGAAUGACAAAUGAUUCUGAGGGGUUUAUUUUGUCUCUUAUAAAGUCAUUUCCUGGAUAAUGAGCUUUUCAUCGGAAACUUCAGAACGAUUUUCUUCUUCCUUGUGCUGUGAGAUCUUUUCCAAGUCCCCAUUGUAAUUUUUGUUCACCCUUUCUUGAUCAGGAGGAAAUAAAGCUCCACCAGGCCCCACCUCCUGACCCUCUCAACUCUGUGCUGUGUUGCUUAAUAACGGUCGAUGUCUCAAUUCCACCAUUAGACAGUGUAGACAUAGAAAGAGAGAGGCUGAUGGGGUAGAUUAGAGGAAUUGCCGUCAUCACUAGCAUCAUAAUAGCUGCCACUUAAGCAGCCCUGUGUGUGAAUUCACUCAUUAAUAAUAUGUAUGCAAAUUGUAUACUCCAAAUAUAUAUGAACUACAUUUACAUACAUAACAAACUUGCAAGAUAGGUACUAUUAUGAUCCCCAUGUGACAGAUGACAAAGUGAGACAUAGAGAGGUUAUGUAAUUUGUCUAAGAUCACACAGCUAAUAACUGAUUGAGUUAGAAUUCUAUGGUAUCUGGCCUCAGACUCCACAGUCUUUUCCUCUCUGACUGACUUGAAGAUCAAUCUAUGUAUUAAUGUCUGGUCAAAAGCCUGUGUGUUCAGCACUGCUGUGGGGUCCCUGGGACGGAAGUAUGCACUGACAAUAGACCUGUUUUCUCUACUACAGGACUGCUGGUUGUCUUCUCCGUAAUUCACUUCGCCCUCUGAUUCUUUCCCUCAACAAGUAUCAGUUGAGUGGUUACGUGGGACAUGCCCUACCCUAGGUCUCUGGGAUGCCAAGAUGAACUAGCCACUGUGUGUGUGCACAUGUCCCCAGAAGAGAGUGUCAGAUUCCCCGGAGCUGGAGUUGGAAGCAGCUGUGAGCUACCUGCUGUAGAUGCUGGAAUCCCAACUUGGGUCUUUCACAAGAAUACAAAGUACUAUUUGCUGCUGAGUAA